rnacentral:rRNA from 1 species
CUGUGCCUACGGGGGGCAGCAGUGGGGAAUAUUGCACAAUGGGCGAAAGCCUGAUGCAGCAACGCCGCGUGAAGGAAGAAGGGUUUCGGCUCGUAAACUUCUAUCAACAGGGACGAAAGAAAUGACGGUACCUGAAUAAGAAGCCCCGGCUAACUACGUGCCAGCAGCCGCGGUAAUACGUAGGGGGCAAGCGUUAUCCGGAAUUACUGGGUGUAAAGGGUGAGUAGGCGGCAUAGUAAGCCAGAUGUGAAAGCCUUGGGCUUAACACGAGGAUCGCCUUUGGAACUAUCAAGCUAGAG